rnacentral:lncRNA from 1 species
AUUUUUUACAGGUGAAAUAGGUGUUGUUGGUAGCUAUCGGUUUUCUGAGAGUAAUUCACCUGACAGAGAGAUUCAGAGAACUUUAAUGGAGUUACUGAAUCAAAUGGAUGGAUUGGAUACUCUGCAUAGAGUUAAAACAACCAUGGCUAUAAGUCAACCAGAUUUCCUAGAUCCUGCUUUGCUGCAUCCAAGAAGAUUAGAUAGAAAAGUACAUACUGAUUUGCCAAAUGAACAAGCAAAUUUAGGCAUAUUGAAAGUCCAUGUGGAUCCCAUUUCAAACCAUGGUGAAAUCGAUUGUAAAGCAAUUUUGUGAUGUUUUCAGAUGGCUUUAAUGAAGCAGACCCUGAGAAAUGUUUGUACUGAAGCAGAUAUGUUUGCAAUUUGUGCUGAUCAUAAUUUUGUAGUAAAGGAAGACCAUGAAAGCAAUCAGAAAAGUGGCUGAUAGUAAGGAGCUAGAUUCUAAAUUGUACUAUAAACCUGUG